GCCCGCAUGGCGCAGUGGCGUGCGUCUGGCAACUCCUCUCCAUCGCAGAGGGGGCUGGUUCGAUUCCAGCUGCGAGCA
rnacentral:tRNA from 1 species